rnacentral:tRNA from 1 species
GAGGGUAGAGCUCAGUGGUAGAGCCCUUUCUUAGCAUGCACAGGGUCCUGGGUUCAACCCCCAGUACCUCCC